UGGGGAAUUUUGGACAAUGGGCGAAAGCCUGAUCCAGCAAUGCCGCGUGUGUGAAGAAGGCCUUCGGGUUGUAAAGCACUUUUGUCCGGAAAGAAAUCCUUGGCUCUAAUACAGUCGGGGGAUGACGGUACCGGAAGAAUAAGCACCGGCUAACUACGUGCCAGCAGCCGCGGUAAUACGUAGGGUGCAAGCGUUAAUCGGAAUUACUGGGCGUAAAGCGUGCGCAGGCGGUUUGCUAAGACCGAUGUGAAAUCCCCGGGCUCAACCUGGGAACUGCAUUGGUGACUGGCAGGCUAGAGUAUGGCAGAGGGGGGUAGAAUUCCACGUGUAGCAGUGAAAUGCGUAGAGAUGUGGAGGAAUACCGAUGGCGAAGGCAGCCCCCUGGGCCAAAUACUGACGCUCAUGCACGAAAGCGUGGGGAGCAAACAGGAUUAGAUACCCUGGUAGUCCACGCCCUAAACGAUGUCAACUAGUUGUUGGGGAUUCAUUUCCUUAGUAACGUAGCUAACGCGUGAAGUUGACCGCCUGGGGAGUACGGUCGCAAGAUUAAAACUCAAAGGAAUUGACGGGG
rnacentral:rRNA from 1 species